rnacentral:rRNA from 1 species
AUGAACGCUGGCGGCGUGCCUAAUACAUGCAAGUCGAGCGAACAGACGAGGAGCUUGCUCCUCUGACGUUAGCGGCGGACGGGUGAGUAACACGUGGAUAACCUACCUAUAAGACUGGGAUAACUUCGGGAAACCGGAGCUAAUACCGGAUAAUAUAUUGAACCGCAUGGGUCAAUAGUGAAAGACGGUUUUGCUGUCACUUAUAGAUGGAUCCGCGCCGCAUUAGCUAGUUGGUAAGGUAACGGCUUACCAAGGCAACGAUGCGUAGCCGACCUGAGAGGGUGAUCGGCCACACUGGAACUGAGACACGGUCCAGACUCCUACGGGAGGCAGCAGUAGGGAAUCUUCCGCAAUGGGCGAAAGCCUGACGGAGCAACGUCGCGUGAGUGAUGAAGGUCUUCGGAUCGUAAAACUCUGUUAUUAGGGAAGAACAAAUGUGUAAGUAACUAUGCACGUCUUGACGGUACCUAAGCAGAAAGCCACGGCUAACUACGU